UCUUUCUUCCUUCUCCUCCACAGGUGGACGAGCUCACACGCGCAGCGAGCUCCCGCGUGCUCGUCCUGGAGCUCGCCCUCCGUGCCGGCUUCCAUUGCCGCAGGAGGUCCUCGACGCGCUCCUCGCCGACGGUCUCGUCAAGCGCCUCCUCUGCCUCUAGCGCUCCGACCUCGGCGCCUCUGUCCCGACCCGCAGGACACCUCGUGUCCCGACUCCAAACCCAGAGGUGGCGCCCCGUUCGCCGCGGUCCUGGACUGGCGGCAGCGGCGGGGAGAGGAAGACGAUGAUACCAACGAGCUGUUGUCGUCGCCGUGGCCGUUCGUGAGCGUGGUGGCGAGGUUCGCGGUGCAGAUGGAGAUUGGGCAGGGGCUGAGUCCGCGGGAGAAGUGCGCGGCGAAGCAGGAGAUACUCCGGUGAGUCCGGGAAGCCGUCGUGUCCCCCGCCGAGGAGGCCACCGUGCUCGCCAAACACCGCCAUUGCCUCGUCCCCUCAACCUCCGUCCUGCGCGCGCCUGCGCACCGCCUCUUCUCGCCGUCGCGGCCAUCAACCUCCCCGAGACGCACCACCUUGCCCCCGAGCUUCGCCUCGUCGCGCUGAGUUCUCCUGAGGAAGGAAUCGACUUGAGGUGCUAGGAAUGCCGCCAUCAAGCCCUUCUUCCCCAAGUCCGGUCGUGCACUGCCGCCGCCCGAUCUCCUUCUCCGGUGAGUUUUGGACUCCACCGCCACCUUCCUCGGAUCUGCGAAGACGCCCUGUAGCCGCUGAUGCUCUUCCCCAACCCCAGCUCGCCUCGAGCCGCCCUCGCCUCGUCGCUCUGUCUCGGGCGCCGCCAGACGCCGUUGAACUCCACCAUCCCGAGCUCCUCCUUCCCGUACGACCACUCAAGUGCAUUCACGGUGUUUUUCUGUCUUCAGGUGACCUGAUGAAGUUGAAAUCCCCUGCCACAAGCCAGUCAAUAUCAUCCUGGUAGUCAAUUCCAUUUAGCCACUACAUAAAUUUAGUUCUUUUACCAUCUUCACAUGAGCCAUAAAUGUUGGUGAGAAUCCAUAAAAUAGACAGUCAAGGAGUAUUCGUUCAUGAAGACCAAUUCCCCAUUAAACAUAGCCCCAUUCUAGAUAAUCAGUAGGCCACCUGAUUUGCCAUUUGAGGGCAGGUGGAGGAAUUUGUUGAGUCUUCUAGAGCAGAAAUUGUGAAUGAAUUUUGAAUAAUUGUGAAUGAAUUUUGAAUCAAUGUUCUCUCUUUUC